rnacentral:rRNA from 1 species
AGUGAACGCUGGCGGUAGGCCUAACACAUGCAAGUCGAACGGCAGCACAGUAAGAGCUUGCUCUUACGGGUGGAGAGUGGCGGACGGGUGAGGAAUGCAUCGGAAUCUACUUUUUCGUGGGGGAUAACGUAGGGAAACUUACGCUAAUACCGCAUACGACCUACGGGUGAAAGCAGGGGAUCUUCGGACCUUGCGCGAGUGAAUGAGCCGAUGUCGGAUUAGCUAGUUGGCGGGGUAAAGGCCCACCAAGGCGACGAUCCGUAGCUGGUCUGAGAGGAUGAUCCGCCACACUGGAACUGAGACACGGUCCAGACUCCUACGGGAGGCAGCAGCGGGGAAUAUUGGACAAUGGGCGCAAGCCUGAUCCAGCCAUACCGCGUGGGUGCAGAAGGCCUUCGGGUUGUAAAGCCCUUUUGUUGGGAAAGAAAAGCAGCAGGUUAAUACCCCGCUGUUCUGACGGUACCCAAAGAAUAAGCACCGGCUAACUUCGUG